rnacentral:lncRNA from 1 species
AAAUUCAGUAAGCAAUUGGGUAAGAUUUUGAUCUUCAAUUUCUAUUUUCUUCUCUUCUUGUUGUGGCUGGAGAUGCAUCAAAAAGCCACCAUUUACCUUGUGCAAAACUUUCUCCAUUCGUUGGGUUGAAAUAGUGGUAACGUUGCUUCCGCGCUUCCCGCGUAGGAUGAUCUGUUUGCCCUUACAGUAGAAUUUCAUAAUUAAUUUAGAAAAGUUCCAAGAGACAUCA